GACGAACGCUGGCGGCGUGCCUAAUACAUGCAAGUCGAGCGCUGAAGGUUGGUACUUGUACCUACUGGAUGAGCAGCGAACGGGUGAGUAACGCGUGGGGAAUCUGCCUUUGAGCGGGGGACAACAUCUGGAAACGAGUGCUAAUACCGCAUAAAAUCUUUAAACACAAGUUUUAAGUUUGAAAGAUGCAUUUGCAUCACUCAAUGAUGAUCUCGCGGUGUAUUAGCUAGUUUGUGAGGUAAAGGCUUACCAAGGGGAUGAAACAUAGCCGAACUGAGAGGGGGGACCGCCACAAUGGGACUGGGACACGGCCCAAACUCCCUCGGGAGGCAACAAUAGGGAAACUUCCGGAAUGGGGGAAAAGCUGACCGAGCAACGCCGCGUGAGUGAAUAAGGGUCUCGGAUCGGAAAACCCCGGUUGUAGGGAAGAAACUAGGUGGGAGUGGAAAGCGCAUCAAGUGACGGUAACUACUCAGAAAGAGACGGCUAACUACGUG
rnacentral:rRNA from 1 species